CAAGGAAGAGCUUUAAGUGUGGAGCUGAGAAGAAGACUAAUGCUAGUGCUAAUGCCAAUGCUCAUGAUCAUAAGACCGAUGCAGAAAAAGCAGAAGAGGCUAUCAUUAUUAGCACACCGGAAAGACCAAACAUGGAGGCCGGAGGGAUGACAGCGGAGCAUUCUAACGACACACGAGCAAAUCAUCAGAAUACUAUCACCACCACCAUCUCCGGUGUCGUCAAUGACGGCAAAUGCACCAUAGCCGGUGGCAAAUGCAUCGUUCGGAGGAGUGGCUCAAGACGUACUUCCCUUUCAUGGAUUCUUGAACCUAAGAGGAUUUUCGUCUUCUUUGCUACCUUAUCAAGCAUGGGAACAAUCCUUCUCAUAUAUUUCACUCUUUCUAUCACCAAACCCCAACCGGAUGGCAAUUCCCCUUGAUCUUGAACCAUCAAGUUGCCUUCAUGUUCGGACAUUGAAACACACCCAAUUAGUCCUCC